CAGCCGCCGCGGUAAUACCGGCGGCCCGAGUGGCGGUCACUAUUAUUGGGCUUAAAGCAUCCGUAGCCGGGUUGGGAAGUCCUCCGGGAAAUCUGGCCGCUUAACGGUCAGAAUGCCGGAGGAUACUCCCAGCCUAGGGAGCGGGAGAGGCCGAGGGUAUUCCCGGAGUAGGGGUGAAAUCCUAUAAUCCCGGGAGGACCACCUGUGGCGAAGGCGCUCGGCUGGAACGCGUCCGACGGUGAGGGACGAAGGCCAGGGGAGCAAACCGGAUUAGAUACCCGGGUAGUCCUGGCUGUAAACGAUGCGGACUUUGUGUCGGACAAGCUAUGAGCUUGUCCGGUGCCGGAGGGAAACCGUUAAGUCCGCCGCCUGGGGAGUACGGCCGCAAGGCUGAAACUUAAAGGAAUUGGCGGG
rnacentral:rRNA from 1 species